CCUACGGGUGGCAGCAGUGAGGAAUAUUGGUCAAUGGACGCAAGUCUGAACCAGCCAUGCCGCGUGCAGGAAGACGGCUCUAUGAGUUGUAAACUGCUUUUGUACGAGGGUAAACGCAGAUACGCGUAUCUGUCUGCAAGUAUAUUACGAAUAAGGAUCGGCUAACUCCGUGCCAGCAGCCGCGGUAAUACGGAGGAUUCAAGCGUUAUCCGGAUUUAUUGGGUUUAAAGGGUGCGUAGGCGGUCGGAUAAGUUAGAGGUGAAAUCCUGAGGCUCAACUUCGGAAUUGCCUCUGAUACUGGUCGGCUAGAGAGUAGUUGCGGUAGGCGGAAUGUAUGGUGUAGCGGUGAAAUGCUUAGAGAUCAUACAGAACACCGAUUGCGAAGGCAGCUUACCAAGCUACUUCUGACGUUGAGGCACGAAAGCGUGGGGAGCAAACAGGAUUAGAUACCCGAGUAGUC
rnacentral:rRNA from 1 species